rnacentral:rRNA from 1 species
AACGAACGCUGGCGGCAUGCCUAACACAUGCAAGUCGAACGAGACCUUCGGGCCUAGGGGCGCACGGGUGCUUAACGCGUGGGAACCUGCCCUUAGGUUCGGAAUCACUCACCGAAAGGGGAGCUCAUACCGGUUAAGGUAUUAGGACAAAAGAUUUAUCGCUGUUGGAUGGGCCCGGGUUGGAUUAGGUGGUUGGUAGUGUACAAGCCUACCAAGGCGACGUUCCAUAGCUGGUCUGAGAGGAGGACCAGCCACGCUGGGACUGAGACACGGCCCAGACUCCUACGGGAGGCAGCAGUGGGGAAUAUUGGACAAGGAGCGAUAGUCUGAUCCAGCAAUGCCGCGUGAGUGAUGAAGGCCUUAGGGUUGUAAAUCUCUUUUACCCGGGAUGAUAAUGACAGUACCGGGAGAAUAAGCUCCGGCUAACUCCGUG